UGAGGAAUUUUGCGCAAUGGGCGCAAUCCUGACGCAGCAACGCCGCGUGGGUGAUGAAGGCCUUCGGGUCGUAAAGCCCUGUCAGGUGGGAAGAAUGUCCCGGGACUGAACAGGUUCCGGGAGUGACGGUACCACCAGAGGAAGCACCGGCUAACUCCGUGCCAGCAGCCGCGGUAAUACGGAGGGUGCAAGCGUUAUUCGGAAUUACUGGGCGUAAAGCGCGUGUAGGCGGUCCUGCAAGUCUGAUGUGAAAGCCCCGGGCUUAACCCGGGAAGUGCAUUGGAAACUGUGGGACUUGAGUACUGUAGGGGAUAGGGGAAUUCCCGGUGUAGAGGUGAAAUUCGUAGAGAUCGGGAGGAAUAUCAGUGGCGAAGGCGCCCAUCUGGACGGUAACUGACGCUGAGACGCGAAAGCGUGGGGAGCAAACA
rnacentral:rRNA from 1 species